GCGCCUGUAGCUCAGUUGGAUAGAGCGUCAGAUUCCGGUUCUGAAGGUCGGGGGUUCGACUCCCUCCAGGCGUA
rnacentral:tRNA from 1 species